rnacentral:tRNA from 1 species
GCGGAUGUGGCGGAAUUGGCAGACGCGCUGGACUUAGGAUCCAGUGCCUUUCGGCGUAAGGGUUCAAGUCCCUUCAUCCGCA